CGGAGGAGAGCGCGACGGGACGGACGCGGGCGGGAGCGCAGCAAGCCCUCCCGGCUCCGCCGCGGCGCCUCGCGGGUCCGGGAGGCGAGGGGGCCCCGCGGGGAGACGCUGUGACAACUUUCGUUUCCCCCCGCCCCCCCGAGGGAGCCGCGAGGUCUGCGGCCCCGAAAAACAAGACAUGAAUAACCCAUUUCACAGAUGAAGAAACUAAGACCUUAGAUUAAUUUAUCCAAAUCCCAAAGCGAGUGGACCUGGAGCAAAGACCUUCUGACUCAUUCUCAGUCUUAUGGACUGUAGCCUGCCGGACUCCUCUGUCCAUGGGAUUCUCCAGGCAAGAAUACUGGAAUAUGUUGCCAUUUUCUCCUCCAGGAAUCACCCGACCCAGGGAUCGAACCAGCAUCUCCCGUGUCUCCUGCAUUGGCAGCAGAGUCUUUACUACCCAGCCACCUGGGGAGCCCAAAAGCGCUUUAUAG
ensembl:lncRNA